rnacentral:RNase_P_RNA from 1 species
GGAAUUAAUUCUUGUAUGCAGAUUUUCUGAUUUUUACUAUUCCACUGUCUGGGAAAUUCUGGGGAAAGCCUAAUCCUUUGGCAUCAGAAGAAGCCAAAAAAAAGAUGCAUUAGAAGAUUUUGGAAGAAAUCUUUGGAGGAAAUUCUUUACUAACAGGGUGGUGAGGAACUGGUACAGGCUGCCCAGAGAAGCUGUGGAUGCUCCAUCCCUGGAGGUGUUCAAGGCCAUUCUGAAUGGGGCUUUGGGCAGCCUGGGCUGGUGGGAGGUGUCCCUGCGAUGGCAGGGGGUAGGAAUUAAAUGAGCUUUAAGGUCCCUUCCAACCCAAACCACUCUACGAUUCU